GAUGAACGCUGGCGGCGUGCCUAAUACAUGCAAGUCGAGCGAAUGGAUUGAGAGCUUGCUCUUAUGAAGUUAGCGGCGGACGGGUGAGUAACACGUGGGUAACCUGCCCAUAAGACUAGGAUAACUCCGGGAAACCGGGGCUAAUACCGGAUCACAUUUUGAACCGCAUGGUUCGAAAUUGAAAGGCGGCUUCGGCUGUCACUUAUGGAUGGACGCGCGUCGCAUUAGCUAGUUGGUGAGGUAACGGCUCACCAAGGCAACGAUGCGUAGCCGACCUGAGAGGGUGAUCGGCCACACUGGGACUGAGACACGGCCCAGACUCCUACGGGAGGCAGCAGUAGGGAAUCUUCCGCAAUGGACGAAAGUCUGACGGAGCAACGCCGCGUGAGUGAUGAAGGCUUUCGGGUCGUAAAACUCUGUUGUUAGGGAAGAACAAGUGCUAGUUGAAUAAGCUGGCACCUUGACGGUACCUAACCAGAAAGCCACGGCUAACUACGUGCCAGCCGCCGCAGUAA
rnacentral:rRNA from 1 species